GACCUACGGGGGGCAGCAGUCGGGAAUAUUGCGCAAUGGAGGAAACUCUGACGCAGUGACGCCGCGUAUAGGAAGAAGGUUUUCGGAUUGUAAACUAUUGUCGUGAGGGAAGAAAUUGACAGUACCUCAGGAGGAAGCUCCGGCUAACUACGUGCCAGCAGCCGCGGUAAUACGUAGGGGGCAAGCGUUAUCCGGAUUUACUGGGUGUAAAGGGAGCGUAGACGGCAGAGUAAGUCUGAAGUGAAAGCCCGCGGCCCAACUGCGGGACUGCUUUGGAAACUGCCCGGCUAGAGUGCUGGAGAGGG
rnacentral:rRNA from 1 species